GACAGAGGGGGCAAGCGUUGCUCGGAAUUACUGGGCGUAAAGGGCACGUAGGCGGGAUGGCAAGUCGGUCGUGAAAUCCCUCGGCUCAACUGAGGAGCGUCGAUCGAAACUGCCGUUCUUGAGGGUUGCAGAGGAGACUGGAAUUCCCGGUGUAGCGGUGAAAUGUGUAGAGAUCGGGAGGAACACCGGUGGCGAAGGCGGGUCUCUGGGCGACUCCUGACGCUGAGGCGCGAAAGCGUGGGGAGCAAACAGGG
rnacentral:rRNA from 1 species